GCCAGGUGGGGGUUGGUCUCUUCUCCCAGGCAACUAGUGGCAGAAUAAGAGGACAGUCUUAAGCUGCAGCAGGGGAGGUUCAGGUUGGACAACAGGAGGAACUUCUUCACAUAAAGGGUGAUUAUACACCGAGGAAGGUGGUGAAGUCACUGUCCCUGGUGGAAAGGCUGAACGUGGCACUUAGUGCCAUGGUCUAGGUGACAGGGUGGUGUUAGGUCAUAGGUCGGACUCAAGGACCUCAGAGGUCUUUUCCAACCUAGUUGCUUCUGUGAAUUUCAUACUUUGAAGGCACACAACUUGCCCCUUGGUGUCCCAGGGUUGCCUGAGGUUGCCUCAGGAUUUGAUCCUGAAGGACUGCCACAGGUGGGAAAUCCCAAAGUGGUUUAAAGGUGCAUGUUUGGGCCAUGAAGCAGACCAACAGCAGCUAUAGCCACCUGGCUGAUUUUCCUCUUCCAUUUCUGAUUCUGGUCAGGGCAGGUCCUGUUCUGUGGGUCUCAGGGAAGGCUUUUAGAUACUAAAACCUGAUAGAUGCUACUCAUCACAAAUGUUCUGUUUUCUAUUGUCUUCCCAGCACAGCAAUCACAGAUGGAGCUGAAAUGGUGCUAGGUUACAACAGAAGAAGAAACAGCCAAGACCAAAAAUGCUCUGGUUUGUCUUGGCAGAAAACGUAAAUUGUGCUGUGCUUCAAUAUGCUGUAGACCUGUCUGGAGCUCAUCUGGUAGCCUAAUAAUGGCUGAAAAUUGGGAUUGUUGAGUUGUUUGACCUGAGGCAUGUAAUCAUCCUGCCUGCAGUCUAACACCCAGUACCCUGAUGGUUGCACAGUUCUUUCCCUAUCAUGUGACCUAAACUGAUCCAUCAUGUGACCAAAAUGCAGGCAUCUUCCUUUACACAAAGGUAUGUCACUCAUGAUGGGAAGACCCAUAAAUAUCAGGUAAGAGACUGCAAGAUUUUCUCAGUUCUCUGCAGAUGGAUGUGUGCCGUGACCAUAGAUUUUUUUGGCCUACAUAAGUACAUGCAUUUUGGUUGUCUUAAGAUGUGUGUUCAGCUCUGUGGGUGCAGAAGGGCAUAUGGUGUGGUGACAUGUGGAAGUGAUUCCCUAAAAGCAAUUCUGAAUACACAGGAGGUCACUGAGCUGAACAUUGUUGGUGCCAGAGAAGAUUUAUCAUGAGGAAAUUGGGACAGGAAGCCAGGAGCAAAAAGGCUUCUGACAUCUAGAGGACUGAAGAUCUCAACAGCUUCCCAAACAGGAAAGCGAGAGUACACAGCCUAUGUUUUUUCAUGAUGAAGCUUCAUAAAUUCAGAGUCCUGGUUGGUAUGAGAAGCCAGGCUUGACCCAGGACUUGACAAUUAAAGCUGGAGGAGGGAGGGAGGUGGUACCCCCAAAGAAGGAUGAAAAGCCCUUACUGUUAGAUGUGAAGAAGCUGUCACUGAAACCAUGCUUCUUUGCUGUGGCAGGAUAUGGCAACAGCAGUAGGGGAAAGCAGGGGAAGGCUCAUCAUGGAGGUGGCUCCUGUGAGGUGUAAGCAAAACAAGGACUGUUAAUCAAGUGGCAAGUCAGCUGCUGCUCAGAAAAAGGGGUGCAAUGCUGUAUGCGAUCCUUAAAAAAUAAGAACCAAGAAGAAGUUGUGAUCUGCUGCAGAGAGCUGAGGGUGCGUCUUGGUCUUCAGAUUAAUUUAGGUAAAUUUAAUUUAUCAGUAAAUCACCUAUGAUAGGAUGUUGGAGAGACAUAAACAGGUUGUAAGUGUGGAUGGGAAAAAUAUAUACACAGCAAAACAAGCUGGUUGGGUAUGUGGAGAAGUGUAUUGCUGGAAAAUCCUGUGAGACACUUCAUACUAGCUGCAGUAUCACGUAUAAACUUGUGUCACAUGCUGUUGAUCAGGCAGAAUUCAAAUGCUGAAAGGACUAAGCUGUGGCAGAGUCUCUGGCUUUGUGUGAUUGCCAAACAACCCAGUAUGGAGCACUUGGUAGUAUCUUACCAUCUAUCUUCUACUUGUUAUGACUACAUAGUGCUGUUUCCUGGCAAUUUUGAGGUUAUUUGAAGGGCUCUGGAGAAGGGAACCUGACUGGCAUACAGCACUGGAAUGGACACAGCAACUGCUGGAAGAUGCCAGAGGAUUCACAGAGAAGAGCAGAAAGCAACAGAGAGAAGCAGAAGUGAACAAGCAUGGAGUGUAAAGAUGGAACAGAGGUUACAAGGAGGAGCAAGAGGAAUGAUCAAAGUUGUGAAACCUUUCCAUCUGAGGAGAUAGUAAAUGAAAAGUAAACAGACUAAGAUGUUUCUAUUUGGAGAAAGGGUAUGUGAGAGGAUACUAUGGAAGAAAUCUAUAAAAUGGUGAGUGGUGUUAGGACAGAUAGAACAGUCACGUACAGCU